rnacentral:rRNA from 1 species
UCAACAACGCUGGGGCAUGCUACACAUGUCUAAGUCGAACGAUGCCUUCGGGCAUAGUGGCGCACGGUGUGCGUAACGCGUGGGAAUCUGCCCUCUGGUACGGAAUAACUCAGUGAAACUUGAGCUAAUACCGUAUAAUGACUCCGGUCCAAAGGUUUAUCGCCUGAGGAUGAGCCCGCGUCGGAUUAGCUUGUUGGUGAGGUAAAAGCUCACCAAGGCGACGAUCCGUAGCUGGUCUGAGAGGAUGAUCAGCCACACUGGGACUGAGACACGGCCCAGACUCCUACGGGAGGCAGCAGUGGGGAAUAUUGGACAAUGGGCGAAAGCCUGAUCCAGCAAUGCCGCGUGAGUGAUGAAGGCCUUAGGGUUGUAAAGCUCUUUUACCCGGGAUGAUAAUGACAGUACCGGGAGAAUAAAGCCCCGGCUAACUCCGUGCCAGCAGCCGCGGUAAUACGGAGGGGGCUAGCGUUGUUCGGAAUUACUGGGCGUAAAGCGCACGUAGGCGGCUUUGUAAGUUAGAGGUGAAAGCCCGGGGCUCAAAUACGG